GCAAUGGCCUUCGAUUUCUCGUACUCUGUACAAAAGAAUUUCUCGUGAUGGACCUGUUUUUCAUCGGCAACAUACCCAUCGGUUGAGCCAAGCGCGAAAAAGGACGACGUAUAUAUAAUCUUCUCGAUUGUUUUCGUCUCUCUAACCGCUUGCAACACGUUCUCCAACCCUCGUACAUUAACAGAGAUGAAUUUCGAUGGAUCAGGAAGCCAUGGCUCGACCAUUGCGGCCGCGUGGAAGACGACAUGGCAGCCCGAGCAUGCCUCUAGAAGCGACUGGUAGUCGGUGAUAUCGCCAUGAACGAGCUCAAGAGCAGAAGGAUCAUGAGGAAGAGCAGAAAGGUCGCUGGUCGGACGGACCAAAGCCCGAACGGAGAAGCCUCGGUUCAAUAAUGCACGGC
rnacentral:misc_RNA from 1 species